rnacentral:rRNA from 1 species
UACGUAGGGGGCAAGCGUUGUCCGGAAUCAUUGGGCGUAAAGCGCGUGUAGGCGGCUCGGUAAGUCCGCUCUGAAAGUCCAGGGCUCAACCCUGGGAUGCGGGUGGAUACUGCCGGGCUCGAGUCCGGAAGAGGCGAGUGGAAUUCCCGGUGUAGCGGUGAAAUGCGCAGAUAUCGGGAGGAACACCAGUGGCGAAGGCGGCGACCUGGGCCAAUACUGACGCUGAGGUGCGAAAGCGUGGGGAGCAAACAGG